AUUGAACGCUGGCGGCAGGCCUAACACAUGCAAGUCGGGCGGGAGGCGGACGGGUGAGUAGUGUAUGGGGAUCUGACUGACGGAGCGGGAUAACUACUGGAACCGGUAGCUACUACCGCAUAACAUCCGUUGACCCCAUAUGGGAUUAGCUUGUAGGUGAGGUAACGGCUCACCUAGGCGAAGAUCCCUCGCUGGUCUGCGAGGAUGAACAGCCACACUGGGACGGAGACACGGCCCAGACGCACACGGGAGGCAGCAGUGGGGAAUAUUGCACAAUGGGCGAAAGCCUGAUGCAGCCAGGCCGCGUGGAUGAAGAAGGCCUUCGGGUUGUAAAGUACUUUCAGUCGGGAGGCGUUACCGACAGAAGAAGCACCGGCUAACUCCGUGCCAGCAGCCGCGGUAAUUC
rnacentral:rRNA from 1 species